UACGUAGGUCCCGAGCGUUGUCCGGAUUUAUUGGGCGUAAAGCGAGCGCAGGUGGUUUAUUAAGUCUGGUGUAAAAGGCAGUGGCUCAACCAUUGUAUGCAUUGGAAACUGGUAGACUUGAGUGCAGGAGAGGAGAGUGGAAUUCCAUGUGUAGCGGUGAGAUGCGUAGAUAUAUGGAGGAACACCGGUGGCGAAAGCGGCUCUCUGGCCUGUAACUGACACUGAGGCUCGAAAGCGUGAGGAGCAAACAGG
rnacentral:rRNA from 1 species